rnacentral:rRNA from 1 species
CCUACGGGUGGCUGCAGUGGGGAAUAUUGGACAAUGGGGGCAACCCUGAUCCAGCCAUGCCGCGUGUGUGAAGAAGGCCCUCGGGUUGUAAAGCACUUUCAGUGAGGAAGAACGCCUGGUGGUUAAUACCCAUCAGGAAAGACAUCACUCACAGAAGAAGCACCGGCUAACUCCGUGCCAGCAGCCGCGGUAAUACGGAGGGUGCGAGCGUUAAUCGGAAUUACUGGGUGUAAAGCGCGCGUAGGUGGCUUGAUAAGCCGGUUGUGAAAGCCCCGGGCUCAACCUGGGAACGGCAUCCGGAACUGUCAAGCUAGAGUGCAGGAGAGGAAGGUAGAAUUCCCGGUGUAGCGGUGAAAUGCGUAGAGAUCGGGAGGAAUACCAGUGGCGAAGGCGGCCUUCUGGACUGACACUGACACUGAGGUGCGAAAGCGUGGGUAGCAAACAGGAUUAGAUACCCCAGUAGUC